AAAUGUUCUUUACCUGAGUGGUUUAAAAGUAAAGGCAGAGUCUUUGUUCACGUGCCUGCCACAGUGAAAGAUCUCUGACCACUCAUUGUGUUCCUGUGUCGAAUCAGUCCUGGUAUUCAGCUGUGGGUGUAGGAGGAAAUGGAAACUAAACUCCAGGGACCUCGCCUGUCUGGAUCACUGCUCUGUGCCCACCUCCUGGCACAAUGCCUGACUCAUUGUGGCACUUCUAAAUUUUGGGGAGCAAAUGAGAAGAGAACUCUGGUGACUGAAUAGUGUGCCAUUAAAAGGGGUGGGAGUGAUAGAAUGAGGUUCAUGUUUGAGAGGAAAGACAGUUCAGGAUGGGAGCAGCUGGUAGGUCACUCAGUGAGGAUUUCUAGUAGAUACAGAUACAUUUAGUAGAGCUACAGCUGGAACAAGUUGUUGAGGCUGGAAAUUGGAAGUUAGGAAUGUUUGCAUGAAGGUUAUAGUGAAAUUGAAGGAUUAUUUAACAUUGCUCCGGUAGAGAGUACAGCUGAGGAUGGAAUUUUCAGAGGGAUGUCAAUGUGGAACUCAUUGUUAAAGCAGUCUUAGGGGGAAAAAAAUUGUUAUUGCCGGAUUUUCAGAAGCAAUGAAAAAUUAAUAUAGUGGGUAAGUAAGUACUUUUUCCUCUGUAAUCAUCAGCUGAAGCUAACUUUUAGACCUAAAGGCAAUCUAGAUACUUCUGUGGGUGUUAAAUUUUUUCUUUAUGACCCAAUUUAGUACAACCCUUUUGUACUUUGGGUACUUUUGCCUCAUUGGACAGGUCGUUAGGUCUUUCAUUAGUGCCCUCCAGUGUGGACAGUGCGGACUGGGCAGGGGGACAGGGAACUGGCAUCUUUGGUCAGCGCUGGGUAUGCUCUCAUCCUGUGGUAGCUGCCUAACAGUUUACCACCAUGUCAGCUUGUAGAGCUGAGGGAAUAGCAUUUCUUUCCUUUGUCCUAUUGGUGGUUUUGCUCUCAAUGAGAGGGCAGGGAUCUGUGACCAUGUCGCUGGAUCAGUGGAGGCACUGUUAAAAUAAACAAAUCAUAGGAAAAUGAAGAAACCUUCUCCAGAGAGCCUCUGCAUCUUUGAAACCCAGGGACCAAAACAUUUAUCAUAACUAAUUUGUAAAACUCAACACCUGCUUCUUUAGUUUGGCUUUUUCAGUGGUAACAUAAAUGCAGUUAAAGAUACACUUUCAAUCUGUCUGAAAGCAGUGCUGCUGAAAGCAUUCAUGCUGUUGCUGUAGGUAUUCAUUCCUUUGGCUAUGGACAUGCAGUUUCAAACUCAGGCUGCAGGCCAAUACCUCACCCCACCCCCGCUGUCCCCUUUCCUCUCCUGCCCAGGCUCUGAUGAUGGGGGGUGUGGUUGUCUUUACUCUUUGGGUCUGACUCUUCUCUUCUGACAUUGACAGCCUGUCUGCCACGCUGGUUCAAUUCCAGAUGUCGGGGUGCCAAAAGGCAGGCUGGGGGACAAUUAGAUGCAUCAUCCUAAUUAAUUCUUGAUACCUGACUGAUGUUGAAGGCCACAUAGAAGGCAUUCCUGCUUAUUUCCGCAACAGGCCCUGAGUUUUGCGAAACAACAAUUAAACUUAAAAUUGGCUUUCACAGUUUUAUCUCUUUUAUCAUGCCCAAGAAUUAUGGUCUCAUGUUAUAUAGAUCCCUUUGCACCUGGGUUUUCAGUCACAAGUGCCCUUCUCCUAGACACUGAUACUUCUCCACAGUAUCAGUUUUGGGGCAUCUUUCAAAAUAGCUUGUAAUUGGAGUGCCUGGACCUGCUCCAUUGUAGAGCGUGUGACUAUUGAUCUGAGGGUCGUGAGUUCAAGCCCCAUGUUGGCCAUAGAGGUUACUUCAAAGAAAAGGGG